CCCUCAAAUUUUGUGCUUAAUUAUAAAGCAGAAAACAAAAUUAAGCUUAACUGCUCCAAUUCACGUUAGGAAUUUCAUCACAAGUACUAAUCAAACUAAGCACAAUGUUUACAACCAAUGCCAAAUAGCAUUUAUACAUACAUACAUAUAUGUAGAAAAGCAUACAUGAGUUAAUAAGAACUAAGAGGAAGAAAAGGUAUCAAUGAUGGUAGUGUGAAGAGGAUCACUCAAAUGUGUAGCCCAAUUGUUAAGAGGACCUUUACCAGUAGCAGCAGCUUGAACAGCAAAACCAAGGAAUGCAACCAUAGCAAGACGAGCGUGUUUGAUUUCGGCCAAUUGAAGAGUUGCUUUCUUUUCUGGGUCGGCUGCUAAACCAAGUGGGUCGAAGAAUUUUCCACCUGGGUAUAGUCUCUUUUCUGAAUCAAGCUCUGCAUUCCUCUGGAAUUCAAUGUAUCCAAUUACAAGAACUUCAAUCCAAAUUAGUGUUGUGAUGGAGAAUGGAAGUGGUUGUCCAAGAUAUGUUGACCCUUCUACUAGCUCCACCUGAAAAUUAAACAAAAACUCAAUAAUUAAUUUUUGUUAUUUUAUAAGCAAAUCAUAUAUAAGAAGUAUUCAUCAUAGUUUAACAAUGACGAAUUUUCGCCAAAGAAUCUAUUAAACCCAUGAGGUGGAAUCAAACACAUAACUACUUGUUUAAGGUGUCGGAUACCCUCGCACCAACCACAUGUUGGUAAACUCCAUAAUUUAUUGAAUAUACAAGUUAAUUCUUUAUUAUAUUUUUUCUAAUUUGCAUUUUCAUAAGGGUGACUAUACCAUCACAUUUUCAGAUAUAAGGAAAAUAUAUUUAAUAAGUCAUUUUUAAUUAUCGUUUAAAAAAUAAUUUUUAACUAUAAAUAAAAAAUUAAACAUAACAAAUAUUCUUCAAAAAAUAAAGAUCUCCACAUAUAAUCGAGCUUGAAAUCUAGACUAUCGGAUCCGACCAUCAAAAUACAUGUGACGACAAACAAACGAAAGUAUGUUUGAAUCUGCGUGAGAUUGUCUAAGUCACAAAGUAUAACCUAUGAAGCACAGACACUUCUCAAAAUAGGCGCGUCCUAGUGUUGGACAUGACACUUAUCAUUACACUGAAUUAUGUCAUUUUCUUAAAUUAUUAUCGGUAUCAACGUCGCUGUGUCUGGUGUCCGUGUCUUUAUGCGUGCUUCAUAGAGUGUAACUUUUGCCAAAAUUACGGUGGUUCACCGUGAUUCUAGUAAUCUCACAUGUAGUCCUAAGUCCUAACAUGCACAAACUUAACAAUAUAAUCUAAACACAAGCAUACAUGCAUGCAUGCAUCCAACACACACUUUGAAUAUAAGUCAUGUCUUCUAACUAGUGAUAAUUACUCAACAUUAACAAUAAUAAACACUAAUUAAAGUAUUAUUUGAAGUAUUAAACUAAUAAACCCUAAAGAGUAAAGAUUAAGAGAUUUCAUAACCAAACAAACCUUUCCAGCAUCUUGCCAAGUAACACCAGUAAGCCAUUCAACAGUAAGAGCACCAAGAGUAGCAAGCAUAGCCCAUCUUCCAUGAAUCAAUUCACAUUCUCUAAACCUCUGAAGUCCAAAUACUUCAGUGUAAGGCUGAAACGGCGUCGAUUUCACGUCGGAAAAUUCC
rnacentral:lncRNA from 1 species